AAGACACUAGUAAAAUAAUAUUACACUGCUUUGUCAAAGCAAAAUUGCAGGUUGAAUUCCUGCGUGUUUUA
rnacentral:tRNA from 3 species